rnacentral:rRNA from 1 species
GAUGAACGCUGGCGGCGUGCCUAAUACAUGCAAGUCGAGCGAACAGACGAGGAGCUUGCUCCUCUGACGUUAGCGGCGGACGGGUGAGAAACACGUGGAUAUCCUACCUAUAAGACUGGGAUAACUUCGGGAAACCGGAGCUAAUACCGGAUAAUAUAUUGAACCGCAUGGUUCAAUAGUGAAAGACGGUUUUGCUGUCACUUAUAGAUGGAUCCGCGCCGCAUUAGCUAGUUGGUAAGGUAACGGCUUACCAAGGCAACGAUGCGUAGCCGACCUGAGAGGGUGAUCGGCCACACUGGAACUGAGACACGGUCCAGACUCCUACGGGAGGCAGCAGUAGGGAAUCUUCCGCAAUGGGCGAAAGCUUGACGGAGCAACGCCGCGUGAGUGAUGAAGGUCUUCGGAUCGUAAAACUCUGUUAUUAGGGAAGAACAAAUGUGUAAGUAACUAUGCACGUCUUGACGGUACCUAAUCAGAAAGCCACGGCUAACUACGUG